ACACAAGUCUCGUAUUUUCUCAUUCUGAUCUCAUGGGGUCUUUAUUGUUACCUGGAUACAUAACACAAGAUGGAAUUAUCUAAAUCCCAAGUACCACCUGACGCCCAGCAUUAUUUGGUGUGUGGCACUGAAGACUGUGAAAAGAACUGCCAGUUUUACUGCAAUGACUGUCUACAUCGAAUGUGUGAACAAUGCAGGGAUAAACAUCAGAAGAAUCAGAACACCAAGAAACACGAAGUGGUCCCUUAUAAAGAACGCAAACGUCAACUUCCUGUAGAGAAAUGCAAGAUCCACCCAACAAAAGACAUAGAUCUUCUCUGUGAGCAAUGCCAGAUUCCUCUUUGUUCUAAAUGCACAUCAACAAAAGAUCAUCGCGGCCAUCUGUUUACAGACCUAGAAAUGGUCUUUGCUGAAAAAUGCUCGCUUUGUCACGUAGAAAUUGCCAAAAUUAGAAACUAUUUUGAGCCUACUUCUCAAGAUCUGAAAACGGAAAUUGCUGAAGAUGUCACAAAAAUUAAGAAGACCAUGGAAGACAUAAGAAUAUCCAUGAAGGCUGAAGCUGAGUCUGUGAAAAAGCUGGUAGACACAGUCACAUCAGAAAAAAUGGAACAAGUCGACAAAAUAGAACAGUCAUUAUUAGAAACUUUAAGCGGUCAAAAUAAAAAAAUAGAUGACUAC
rnacentral:sRNA from 1 species